GUGAAAUGGAAUCAGCGUUUGGACAUGCGAUUUCAUGUCGAUUUCAUCUCAUGA
rnacentral:pre_miRNA from 1 species